GCAUUGGUGGUUCAGUGGUAUAAUACUCGCCUGGUGCGCGGGUGACCCGGGUUCAAAUGCCGGCUGAUGCA